AUUGAACGCUGGCGGCAGGCCUAACACAUGCAAGUCGAGCGGAGCGGCGGACGGGUGAGUAAUGCCUAGGAAUCUGCCUGGUAGUGGGGGAUAACGUCCGGAAACGGGCGCUAAUACCGCAUACUAUCAGAUGAGCCUAGGGCGGAUUAGCUAGUUGGUGGGGUAAAGGCAUACCAAGUGGACGAUCCGUAACUGGUCUGAGAGGAUGAUCAGUCACAUUGCAAGUAGGACACAGUCCAUACUCCGUCUGUAGGCAGCAGUGGGGAAUAUUGGACAAUGGGCCACGGCCUUAUCCAGCCAUUCCGCGUGUGAGGAGAAGGUCUUCGGAUGGUAAUGCCCUUUAAGUUGGGAGGCGUUACCAACAGAAUAAACACCGGCUAACGGCGUGCCAGCCGCCGCGGUAAAAC
rnacentral:rRNA from 1 species